GGUGAUGUAGCUCAAUGGUAGAGUACUUGCCUAAUAUGUCUGAGAAUCUGGGUUCCAGCUCCAGCAUUGCAG
rnacentral:tRNA from 1 species